CAUGUUGUGAAAGUUGCUAAGCUUUAAAUGACUCGCCAUAUUUGUGGACUUACUUCAUGUGGAAACCUCAAAUAAUGAAUUUUCAGAUAAUACUACAUUAUUAUUGCUCCAAUGUAGUCUCAUCCCAACUAGAGUCCAUGAUACUUUCGACAUAUUCACCUUAAAGGGAUAUUCUGGCGUAAAUCUAAGCAAUGAUCAAACACACCGAAACACCGAGUUAGACACUCCCCGAGAGAUGAAUGUUGCUGACCACUUGCUUCUCUAGUUAUAGCAACUUUAGUAACGACCGCAGGAUCGCAAUGCACAGUGGUCUAUGGAUCCACGUGCAAACCUUAACCAAAAAGCCACUCUAUAGCCACAAAUAAUGCUUAGAGCAGCAGCUAACUUCAUCAACAGUACAUAUAGGGUCCCAGCCAUAGUACUAGCCAUCAAACAUCUUUUUAGCUUUGCCUUAUUUCUUUGGCAAAGAGACUAAACACAACUCACCCACUCUCUUCCAGCAGCCGGUGGUUUGUGUGGGAGCCCUGGCGAGUCAAUUACUGAGUGCAGCGGAGUUUCGCAGCUCAAGGAAGAACAUUUAUAAUUAUUACCUAAUGUAAAUGCAAUCAGAGUUCUUGUAUAUCUUGUAUGUCAGUUUAUAAAUGUUAUUAUCGAGGGCCGGCCAGGAAAUGAGCGCAGAUGAGCAUAACAUUUUUAACUUCACAAAUAUUUGUGGGGGAACUCCUGAAACAAAAGCAAGAUUUUGCGUUAAGUCGAACGCGAUUGUUUAUCUCAUGAAGAGUAGGGAAACAGCACGAAGGUGAAGAAGAGAAGUUAUUCAAAACAUACAAGAUACACAAGAACUCUGCAAAUUUGCAUUGCAUUUCCAUCAAGUAAUAAUCAUAAAUUUUCUUCCUUGAGCUGCGAAACGCCGCUGCACUCGGUGAUCGACUUGUCUGGGCUCCCCCACAAACUAGCAGCUGCUGAAGGAGAGUGGAUGAGUUGUGUUUAGUCUCUUAGCUAAAGAAACAAGACAAGGCUAAAAAGAUGUUUGAUGGCUAGUACUAUGGCUGGGACCCUAUAUGUACUGUUGAUGAAGUUAGGUGCUGUUCUGAGCAUUAUUUGUGGCUAUAAAGUGGCUUUUUGGUUGAGGUUUGCGUGUGGAUCCAUAGAUCGCUGUGUAUUGCUAUCGCUCGGUCAUUACUUAAGUUUGUAUAACUAGAGGAGUAAGCAGUUGGCGACAUUUACCUUUGUAGGGGGUGUCUAACUCUGUGUUACGGUGUUGUUGUUGUUACUUAACUUUACACCGGAAUAUCCCUUUAAAGUAGUUAUUUGUGCAGUUUUAACACUAAAAUUACAAGAUUUGGCUCCUGUUCUGUUGCUUUAUCCACUCAGAUGCCAUUAAAAGUGCCUCAUAUGCAAAAAAGAUUUAAUUUAGGAGGCUUUUGUAUUGAAUCUUUAUUUUGCCAGCCAAUGAUACAAAAAGAAAACAGCUCCCAGAGUUGUACGAAAGCAUCUGCACACCUAUAAAAUGCACCCUCCCCUGCUGUGCAUCCAGAAUGUACGGCCAAGAAAGUGCUCCCUGGAGUGUUCAUACAUUACUCUGGUGGGCUGUGCUGAUUCGGGCACACCAUAUCUCUGUUUCCAUCCAUCAGAACCGGAUAACUAUAGAUCCCUCUGCUCCUGGCUGCGGUCACUUGUAGCUAUCCCUUAGGCUGUGUAGAGUCGCCGAGGGGGGGAACAGCGGAGGCGUCGACAGUUGUUGGCUUCUCCAGAGUGCCGGGAUGCCAGAUGGCUUCCUGAUUGAUUUUCUGGUCCUCUCCCAAUUCUUUAUCAGCACCUCUCCUCUUUCGGUGUCAGAGGGGUGCAGAGGAGGACUUAUCUUCUGGACUCACUCCAGCCAAAUCCUCCUCACAUGAGCCGUCGUUACUCAUGGGCUUGAGGUGUGAUUUAUGGAUCGAAGUCUACAGGAGUACAGUUUUUGACAGCACGGGUAGAUAAUGGAGGAGACUGAAUGAAGCAAUUUGUGACCUCUUCCUUGCCAUUAACCUUCACAGGCUGCUGGCUCAUCGGCCCCAAAGGAGCUCUGUUAGGAAUUGAUGCCCGCAGACGAUCGUACCUCUAUAGAUUUUUCCUAUUGAUUUCUGAAUGUAAACUCACAAUAAGAUGAAUUGGUGGUGAAAAAGACGGUUUCACCAUCACCACAGUCCAGACUUUGUUGAACCAGGAUCCUUCUUUUUGCCAAAUAUAACAAAUGUACAGUCAAGUGUACUGUAGUGAUGCUGCAGCUACGCAAUCACAUCGGAGGACAUGAAACGAGCUUUAAGAAACGGCACCAGACGCGGGUUUAUUAUGUACCGUCGCUGUACGGUUAAAGAACUGGAGGCUAAAAUAAGAGCAGAAGACAGUCCAGUAUGACCAUCAUUGAUGGUGUUAGCAAUCCCAACUGUCCUAAAAGGAUUUAGCAAUGAUUACGAGAGGUGUAUUGUUGUACGGACAAUACUAAAGGGAACUUUUCUCUAAAUUGAAAGAAUGAAUUUGCAAAUGGAAAUGCCAAAAGAGGCAAACUGUGAACUAAGGCUGCAGUAUCAUACCUGCAUUGAUAAUAAAAUGUGCUACAAAACAAGUAAAAGGUAAGGCACCCAGAGUUCAUAGCGAUAGUCCUCUACCCUGGUUGCCAUAGGAGAGACGAAGAGGAAGGAGCAGCUGAUAGCAAGCUAGCUGUGGCAGCCCUCUGAGAGUUAAAAGGCACUUUUUAAACAAACAGAUAUUCAGGAUAGUAGUGAAUCCAUAAACAGCAUCAGCCUCUUUAAAUAACAGUUGAACAUUUACACUCUCUGACUGUUCAAUCUUGUAUUAUCUUGUAUACAAAAAAAUCAAAAAUAUUUCUAUUGGGUACUUCCACAGCUCUGGAGUAAACAACAAACCUUUUUUUGUUUUUUUUGUUUGUUUUUUUUUUACAUGCAUAAACUCUUUAAUCUGUGGUUAAGGGUGGUUAAUUUAUUGUCUCCAUUACCGUUUGUUAUUCCACUCAUGUAAAAUAUGUUUGCACCUUUUUUACGCUGUAUGCUGACACGAUAUGGUUCAUGAAGCUGCAGUGAAAUUGAAAGCUGUGAUCAUAUCUGUCUGCUCGGUUAUUUAGGGGUUUUAUGUCAACCACCAAGUGUCGUAAACUUGUGAUACUCCAGGAGUCUGCAUUGAAGCCCUUAAACCAGGAGAGCGGCUCAUUACACUGUCUCCAAACCCCGAAACGGAGGAGAUUUUUCAGUUAUUGAAAUGGGAAACACGUACAACAAUGAUGGAAUUGAACAUGAUGUUUGGUGUAUAGAUACUACAGCAGAAGCAAGUGGCCUUAUCAUGUAUAAAAAUGAAGAAUAUUUUUGUAUUUGAUCCUGAAAAGGAUCAUGUGGAUGUCUGGUGUUAAUGUAUCUGAUCAACUGUCAAAAAAGUAAAAAUAUAAAGUUGGAUUUUCUCUUUUUCUUUUUGCCUUCUGAUUUUAAUGUUUGUCUUGCCUCCUAAAUGUAAAAACUGGCAGGUUUAUUCAUGAAAAAUAUCUCACAAAUCAAAUGUUUUGCAUCUCCAUUUCAUGGUGACUCUAAAUGCAGAAAAAAAACUAGGUUAUCAUCCGUGUUAAACUGUGAUGGAGAUAUGAAUCUAGAUACUUGGAGGGUAAUGAAAGAAGAAAAUGAGGAAUAGAAAGCGGAGAGAGAGUUUGCCAAGCGUAUCUGAUUGGUUUGAUCACCAGCUGCUGUGUUAGAUGUUGAAAUGUCGUGGCCGCGCCAAGUCACUCUGUUCCCCCUGGUGUUGAUGCUCUGCCCUGCAGUCUCUCCCAAUUACUCACUGAUGAUGCUCUGCUGUUUGUUUCGUAGGAUCCUCAAAGUGAACAGGCCAAGCAAAGGUGACAGAGGCAUGCUGGAUACAAGCUCUUUACUGUGGAGUAGCAAAACAAACCUAUAUUCAAUGUGAGUGCAUCUUCAAAUUUCAAACGAUUUGUACUCUGCAUGAGACAAGCUGUGUCCCUCUCGCACAGGAUGACAUGCUCUGAAGGAAAACUUGUCAGAAAAUCUUCCUAUUCUGACAAACUCGGCUGCUUCUUAAAAAAAUGAGAGGCGCUGCAGACGGCUGUGACGCUGCUGUCUCCAGAACUGCUCAUCCCUAAUCUUUUUCACGCUCCCCUGUGAGAAAGGCAGAGCAAAGCAGCGCUAUAAAAUAUCCUAAACUUGGUAAAUGCAUCCACAGAAACGUUGCUACAAUCUCUGUGCACAGCAUGCUCGUCGUUUUUGAUCUGCUGUGGCAUACAUACAGCACCUCUGCCUCCUUCAGCCCAUAUGUGUCUUUAAUGAUAAUGCAAAACAAGACUCCCCGUGGUGCAGGUCUUUGGAGAUGCUCAAGCUUCAGUUGUCAGGGAAUGAGAGGAGGAGCUGCACACACUCACACACACACACGCACGCACACACACACUGACAGAAGGCCAUUUCUACACUGCAUGUCUGUUCGCUUUAUGUAAUCCCCAAUACCCACAACAGCUCAGGAGCAGUGACUGUUGGCUGCAUACAUUAGGUGACACACUUUUCGCUUUCAGGAGGGACUCCAGACGGUGCAGUAAACAUGUGAGGCCCAGAUACAGAGAGAGCAUCGCUUUUCAUAUGCAGCGUCACAGCUGGGCAUCACGCAGAGAAGACGGCACUGAAGUCACUCAGUCAUUUGGUAAAUUUGUCAAAAGAGCCAUAAAUGAAUAUCCCACAGUUUAUCAGAUGCGUCUGAUUAAUGUCCCACUGUUUACUUGCUGAACCAUAAGUCUCAUUUCCAACUUGUAAGAAAUUUACUCAAGUUGUAUUUUUCAGGCAGGAAGAAAAGACAUGUAGAGCUGAGCUUGUCGGCUUGGGGUGUCCCAGUACAACUUUGAUACUUCCGAUACAAUGCCGAUAUUGUAGCCUUCAGUAUCGUACGAUAUCGAUAUUGAUCCGAUAUUGGCGCAAACUUGUGCAUGACAAGUUUUGCACUCAGCUGUAACGUUUUUUUCAGAAUUAGAUGAAAAAUACUGCCAUACGGCCAACAUCACUCCUACUCCUUGCUACUUUGUUAGUACCUUAGUACACGCAGUUGUUGUGAUUGCGUGGUCUUUGCAUGCUGGAUCUGGGCACUGCUAGAUAGAGGUGCUGGUGUAGAGUCUGGAAUGGACUGCUUGUAGUGCUGGAAUCUGAGAUUUUAGAUGUUGGCCAAUAUUAUCCAAUAUUUGUUUUUUGCUGAUAUUGGAUCGAUGUCAAUAUCAGAUUAGGACAUCCCUACUGUCAACUACAGACGUAAAGAAGAGCAACUGUGAAGAGGCAAACUAAUUUUUGUAGGAGAUUUAUUUUACUCAUCACUGGAUGCCUCCUCUGUGGGGACCUUAAGGACUUCGAGUUCAUUGAUGGUUUGCAAUUUUUGCAAAACAUGAAAAAUACUAUUUUUCAUUGAUGGAAAAAUUCUUGCUUGUCUGAAUCAUUCCAGGAGUGGAUAUUCCCCUUUGCCUGUCAAGGUUACUGCUGGUAAUACUCUUUUCAAUCAGACCCACCGCUGCUGUCACAGUGAAGUACACUGUAUCUUUGUUGGUGUCAUCAAUGGACCGGUCCAUGAUAGUGAGUUACUCUCUACUCACUUGAAAAUGUUGCAGAGAUGAUUCUGACUCUGUUGUACACUAAGGCGGUGAUUUAAUAUCUGCUGACAUGCUUGUUUUCUCCCUGAUAUGAUUUCGUCACGUCUGAGACACUCACUGAAUCCAUCUCAAGCUUAAACUGUACAAAAGCAUGGAUGAUACAACAGCUCUCCCAAAGUGAAGCUGAAACUUCCCCAGCUCCCCAUGGUGACUGGGUGUAAUUUGCACAGUUUACUGGUGUUGAAAAAUAAAUAGAAUCUUUAAGUGUUUAAAACUGCAGUUCCUUAUCUGUCCACUGGAAGCUGGCUGCAAAGGCCCUGGUGACUGCAUUAAUACUGUGUUAAAACAUCUGUUUUCACAGUAGAAGUGGGAAUGUUUAUGGCAUGGUGCAAGCAAUUUUGAGGUCUGAAUAACCCAUGUAUGGUCGAAAAACAGACUCAGUUUGCAACAUAACAUAACUUUAUAAUCUUUAUCAUAACUUUAACAUAACUAGAUUGUGUAUAUGCUUCAAGUGGCCUGAGUGUUCUGCUUAGCAAGUUAGCUUCGGCAGCCCUCUGGGAGACUGUUUAGCACCUUUAAAAACUAACAUUCAAAGGGUUAAGCAUAAUUUUAUUGCCAGAGAAUUAACUUUCUAGCUGUCCUUUUAACUGUUUUCUUUGGUUCAAAAUCUUACAAAUAGUGUCUUUCAAAAUAAAAGCAGAUUUUUGCCAAGCAAGAAAUAAUGCAACCCAAACAAGAGAUAGGAAAAUGUCAAAAUAAAAGCAUGAGAAACAAUUGUUUUAUGAUGCAAUGUCCCUCCGGAGAAGUGUCAGUCACAGAGCUGAUGAUGUUGAUUAUGAAUUUGAAAAUCAUUAAAAAUGGCCAAUAACAGGUCAGUUAAUUGUGUUUACUACUUAGGUUCAUGAAGAAAUUGAGUUUUGCCUUCCUUCAGUUUUACUGAUUGUGUUUCAUUUUCAAGUUCUCUGUAAAUAUCGUGAUCUUUUGUAGCAGUUCUGCUGUUGUAUGGUGCUCCAACACCAGCAGAGCACAGGCCUUGUGGAGUGUGUGUUACGACUCUGCUGGUGUAUUUAAUGAUAAGAAGCAUUUUUAUGCAGAGAGAAAAAAUAUCACACUUGCUGCAGUCUGCCACUCUUCACUCACCCACAGCAAAUGGACAUGUUGGAGGGUGGAAAUCUGAAAAUAUUUCACUUCCAAUUUAGAUUAUAUAAUUUGGUAUAGGAAAGGAAACAAUACAACAGUUUCUCCAUUUUUGCACCUUCUUGCUGAGAUUCUGUCAGUUCUCCUCUGCAGUUCUUCCAUACUCCAUACUGUAUUUGCGUUCCUUCUCAGAUGCAGUGUUGAAAACCUGUCGAAGACUAACUCGGAUUUGGCAGAAUUUCUGUACUUUAGUUUGCUGAAGAGAACACGAGAGUCACAUUGAUUCACACCACAGCAGACUGCGAUUUUUCACAGCCUCCCCCAGCAUAGCCUACAUUGACAGAAUUCCUCUUUAAUGUGUUCCUACGAGAUAAAAUGCUUCCACAGGCGAUUAACCAUUCCACCCCUCUCCCAUUCAUUUCACUUCAUCAGAUUACUUGAUUGCUUGCUAAAUGGACUGCCUCUCUCCCCCCAGGGAAAUACACUGUAUGUAUUUCCUCGGACAAAAUGAGAUAUGCUGGAUUUAUUUCUCCUCACAUACUGUGUUUUUUAGACAUUCGAUCAGCCUUGGUUUGGUUUAGUUCAGUCAAGUGUACCUCAGGUCCAGAGAUAUUAUUAAUCCUUUCCAAAACAUAUUUUAUAUUCUGGUCUACAUAGUGGCCCUGAGCUGUUUUAGACUUUCAGGCUGUGAAUAGUGAAAUUGGAAAAGUAUCAGUGUGGCUUACAAAUGAUGUCGAGUGAAUUAAAAGAGGUUUCUCUUCGAGUGUUGCACAUAUUACCUCCUGCAACCAGGUUGUAACCACUGAGACUGUUAGCUCCCUGAAGACCACCUGCUGUUAAUUUGGUACAUGUAUUAAAGGAACAGCUUGACAUUUUGAGAGGUAUCUCUUUUUUAUGUCAUACUAUGAAUUUACUAAAUUAACUGUUCCACUGAAUUUAUGCUGAAUGCAACCAAGCCACAGUUUGGCAUGGCAUAAAAUGAAUGGAAACUGCGAGCAUAGAGCUAGUCAAAUUAUUAUUUUGCACCCAAUUUCAAAUUACAAACACACUUAUUGUACAUAUUUGUUUGUUCUGAUCAUAGACUGUAUAUAGAAUGGACGCUGUCUGCCUCCUUGCUGGGUGAAGCCACUGCGAGAACAGCACCCUCUAGUGACGGGCUGCAGUAUAGGUCAUAAAUCCCUCCUCCCUCAGCAAUCCCUAUGGAGCUGUGGACAAACUUUAGAAAUUUAUUACACAGAAUAUAUUUUUUUCUCCCCCCUGCUUGCGGUGUUGACAUGUAGUUACUGUAAGACUGGUUUGUGCUCAAGUCCUCUUUUUUUCUGUGCAGCUCCAUUUUUCAAAGUUAUUAGGGGGUUCAUGUUUUAUAUGAAUAACCCCUAUGGGCGAACGAAGAUUGCGUAGCUCACCCGGGGGAUAUGCUGUUUGAGUCGAGUGUCAUCACAGCCACUCUCGGCGACUCUCCCACCGAAUGCGUACAGCGCUACUGUACAAGUGGUUGUUCCAGGAAGUGGAGAAAGUCUCAGUAAUCCUGAAAGCAAUUCGGCUUCAAAUUUGUAUCAUGACUGUAGGCAGAACCAAGUUGUCCAUAGUAUAUACAGUCUAUGGUUCUGAGCUACUGUAGAAACAUGGCGGUGCAAGAUGGUGGCCUCUGUAAAACACUUAUUUGUGAGUAACAGAACAAGAAGAUUUUUGUAUUUAGAUAAUUUUUUAGAUUUUUUACCCCAUUUCUACCAAGUCUGCUCUGCUUAAAGCUUCACGCUGCACUGCAACAAAUAAACAACCCUUAAAUAAUUAAGCUUUGUUUUUACAAAUGUUGCUUACAGGACUACUUUCUGUCUGGGAACAGUAACUUCUCCAGAUGCCUUGUUGAUCCCGUUACGACUUAGCCUAACUUAAACAGCACCAGGCAAGCAGCUGCGAUACAAGAUGCCAUCUGUCAUUGGUGUUUGCUUAGGUCCAGGUCGUAAAGCAUUGUUGCAUUUUGGUUGUAGUCAUUUAAUAGAGAUACAGCUUUGGGUAUAGUUAGGAUGUAUUAUCCAUCCCUGAUCCAGAUUUUUGUUAAACAAGUUGAAAGAGUAAUGUUUGGCCAUGAUGUUUAACGUCUUCAGAUACGCUGGAGAGAUAAUGUGUUGAGUUCAUGUGAGUAUUUGCUGCAUGUGUUGUUUCCAGACA